UCCCAGACUCCUACGGGAGGCAGCAGUGGGGAAUAUUGCACAAUGGGGGAAACCCUGAUGCAGCGACGCCGCGUGAGCGAAGAAGUAUUUCGGUAUGUAAAGCUCUAUCAGCAGGGAAGAAAAAAUGACGGUACCUGACUAAGAAGCCCCGGCUAACUACGUGCCAGCAGCCGCGGUAAUACGUAGGGGGCAAGCGUUAUCCGGAUUUACUGGGUGUAAAGGGGGCGCAGACGGCAGCGCAAGCCAGGAGUGAAAGCCCGGGGCCCAACCCCGGGACUGCUCUUGGAACUGCGCGGCUGGAGUGCAGGAGGGGCAGGCGGAAUUCCUGGGGUAGCGGUGAAAUGCGUAGAUAUCAGGAGGAACACCGGUGGCGAAGGCGGCCUGCUGGACUGCGACUGACGUUGAGGCCCGAAAGCGUGGGGAGCACACAGGAUUAGAUCCCCUAGUA
rnacentral:rRNA from 1 species